rnacentral:lncRNA from 1 species
AUCGCCUCUCCCCGAGCUCCAAUUUGGUAAAAAUGGAAAAUGGGAUUCGUCCCAUUUUCCAGAACUUAACAUUCUGUCUGGUACUGUUCACACUAUUCACGACUGUUCACGGGGUACUGUACAAGGUACUGUUCACGCAGGUGCGGUCACUGUUCACACGUGCGAAAAAUGCAAAAACUGCCCAGAAAAUUGCAGCAGCUUUUCUUUUCACUAAAAAGGCUCUAACUCCAUCAUACGAACUCAGAAUUCAAUGAUUCUUGUUCCUAUGAGUCACAAAUAAUAAUACAAACAUAUACCUUCAUUCGAAACUCAAUUCGGAGCUCAUUUACUCAGUUGAAUACCCAUUUCGCUCGUUAAACAAUUAACUCAUGUUUCGUAUCAAAAACCCAAUGUGACUUGAUGAAAUUAGACCAAACUUUCCAGAUCAGUCCUAUAAUUCAUUAUCAAAAUUUUGUAAGUAUCGAAAUCAAAUUUUGAUCUCUAGAACUAAAAAUGGAUCUUUGGAUCAUUACAUGCUUAUGCUCAAAACGGCAAAAUCUUCCAAAACUUAUCCGAGACUCAUGAGACCCUAGCCAAACAUGCCAACAUAAUUCAUAACAUCAUUCAAACCUGUUCCAAUCAUCAAAACACCUCAAACAACAUCAAAUUACCCCAAAACUCAUCGAAUUCAAGCCUAAGUUUCCAAAAAACUUCCGAAAUACACUUUCGAUCAAAAACCCAACCAAAUGAUGUCCGAAUAACCUGAAAUUUUUCACACACAUCACAAAUGACAUAAAGAAGCUACAGAAACUCUCGGAAUUCUAUUCCGACCCUCGAAUCAAAAUCUCACCUAUCAACCGGAAUUCGCCAAAAUAUUAACUUUGCCAAUUCAAGCCAAAUCCUUCCACGGACUUCCAAAAUGCAUUCUGAUCGUGCUCCUAAGUCAUAAAUCAUCCAACAAAGCUAUCCAAAUCGUAAAAUUUCUGAUCCGAACUCAUAUACAAAUAAGUCAACUCUUAGUCAAACCUUUCAAAUUCAAAACUUUCAACUGAGAUUGUUCCUUCAAAUUCAUUCCGAUUUUUCCUGAAAAUCAAAACCAACGAUUUACAUCAGUCAUAAUACGUUACACGGGGCAAGUCAUGCCCGGGAACUGGCGAUCAAAGUACAAAAGCUCAAAACGACCGGUUGGGUCGUUACAGGUCGGCCCAAGUAUAUUCCUAGCGAUAAAAGUGAACCAAAUAACACAAUUAACAUGAUAAAUUCAAUUUUUUUUAUUCUUGUUGUCCGAUCCCACAUUCAAAACAAUGAAAAUGCCAAUUAUCUUUACCUAAGUGUGAUGCUAUAUCUUUCUGACAAUUAAUAAAACUAUAAAAUAUCUAAAACAAAUAAACUAUUUAUGAGAACAGAGAAGCCGGAUAUUUAUGAACAAACCAGCGUAGAUUAAAACUGGAAAGAGUCAUUCCAUGACCCAUUAAAUCCAAAAUCCUUACUUCACUAUUUUCUUCUUUAUCUUAAUUAAACUUAGUAACAGAUUAAUGAUUCAACAAUCACAAAAUUUCUUAGUUCUUAAACUAACGAGAAUUGAACAUGAAAAUAAUACGAAUACCAUCCAAACAAAUAAUAUCAAGCAAAUACGCACAAAUUCGCUUCAUUCCAUCAAAAUAAUUAUAAGAACACACAUAAUUAAAGAAGAGAAGAGUAUGAAAUGGACCUCAAAAAGGUGUCAUCUGAUUUCCUUAAAUAUUUCAAAAUUGUAUAGAAUCGUUAACCCGAUACCGAGCACAUUAUAGAAUGAACAGUAAUUGACGCGAAACUUGAACCGCUAGAUCGAAACUCAGAACGAGAUACCGUCGUCGAUCGUAAACCUCAACAACUACACAUCACUUGAAAUUGGAAAGGAUUUGAUCUUGUUUCUGGGCUGUGGAUUUAUAUGACGGUAAAUGGUUGAAGACAUGGGUGUUUGUGGGUCUUUCAUGGCAGUGUAAAGGUGGAGAUACAGUGGUUUUCAAUGGUAAGAAUAGGAGGUGAUUUAAGGUAGAGUCAUGGUGUUUUUGCUGGAAAUGGAAGCUUUGAAGAUUAUACUUGUGGAAGAAAGUUGUGGCUGUGUAUAUGAGUGGUCGUUAAUGGAGUGAGAGCAAGGUGAGAGUAUGUUGUUGGUGGUUGCGACUUUGUGUGUGUGGUCGCGGCUGGCUUAGGACGGCGGAAUUGGUUUCUCAAAUGAGAGAUGAAGAUUUUGGAGACGAAAAAUCCGAUCGUCUUCUCAGGUGGGGUGGUCUGCCGUUCUAGCUUAGAAUGUAGGUAUUAGAGAUUAGGUUAGGUUUUGAUUAUAAUUGGGUUUAAA